GAUCAGCCGCAGUGAAUAGGCCCAAGCGACUGUUUAUCAAAAACACAGGUCUCUGCAAAAUCGUAAGAUGAAGUAUAGGGGCUGACGCCUGCCCGGUGCUGGAAGGUUAAGAGGAGUGCUUAGCGCAAGCGAAGGUACGAAUUGAAGCCCCAGUAAACGGCGGCCGUAACUAUAACGGUCCUAAGGUAGCGAAAUUCCUUGUCGGGUAAGUUCCGACCCGCACGAAAGGCGUAACGAUUUGGGCACUGUCUCAACGAGAGACUCGGUGAAAUUUUAGUACCUGUGAAGAUGCAGGUU
rnacentral:rRNA from 1 species